GCCUGAGUGGUGAAAUCGGUAGACACAAGGGAUUUAAAAUCCCUCGACGUUCGCGUCGUGCCGGUUCGAUUCCGGCCUCAGGCACCA
rnacentral:tRNA from 13 species